UCUCAGAGGAAAUGUGUAAAAUCAAAUUCUACUACAUAAUUUUAUAUGUUGAAUUAGAAUCAUGUUAAUGAAUUAUUUGCUACUUUUGAUUUUAGAAUAACCUAUUUAAGAAAACCAAGUAAAUAAGUGAUUGUUUGAUUUUGUAUGAUUGCUUUUAUACAAAUUAAAUGUAUUUAUCUUUGCAUUUGUGACUGAUUUUCUUUUUCUAAACACUUUUUUUUAUAACUAUUUUAUGUAUUCUGUUUUAUAACAAGUGGAUAGACUUUACAGUUUUGUGCUGUGCGGCCUGUCAAUCAGUUCAGUGACAGCUGUCAAUCACUGACACGCAAAGUGUUAUGGGAUUCCCUAGUGAGGAAAGAAUUGGUAUCUCUGUGUGGUGACUUUAGCCUCCCGAGUUCCGAUUAAAUCGGAUUUCUUUGAACUAUUAUCUAAUCAUCACUUGGACAGUCAGUCUCGAUGGAGCAAAGUAAAAGACAAAGUAGAAAGUGAUCCACGUUACAAAGCAGUAGAUAGUUCAUCAAUGAGAGAAGACCUUUUCAAACAGUACAUUGAAAAAAUAGCCAAG
rnacentral:sRNA from 1 species